UCCAUGAGGCAAGCAGUCAGGGCAGCUGCUUUGCAGAAGGCCAUGUGUCCUGUGUGAGUUGGGAGAAGCUGAGUCCAGGAGCAGAAAGCAGGCUGUUGUCCCUAAUGCUGAAGCAUUUUGCAGCAGCCCCUCUAACAGGGAAGCCUGGGCAAUGGGUUUCUGUACACAUAACUGAGUGGUUAAUCAGUUAGCUGACUGGCUAGCAGUGAUUUCAGCAGAGGAAGCGUCUGCGUGGAUUCCAAUGGAAGAUUCCUACAAGCAAGUGGAGGGAAGAUGUUGUUUUAGACUCAGCAGACUGUGUAGAUUUGGUGAUCAAAGACUCUCUGAGAUUUAGGUGAACAAAACCUAAGCUUUUAGGAACUCUCAGUUUCUUCUCACUGUAUUUCUGUGGGGACUGAACUGUUCAGAUUUUAAUUUGUUUUCUUUAUGUUCAUGUGUAACUGUGACAGUAAUGUCUGUGGAUAAUAAAAUAGCCAUGUCAUGCUGUAAAGAAGUGAGGUUUUUACUCACGAAAGCUUAUGCCCAAAUAAAUCUGUUAGUCUUUAAGGUGCCA